rnacentral:tRNA from 1 species
UUAAUUGAAACCAAAGCAUAGAGGUAUGCCACUGUUAAUGGUACCAAUGGGUGAAACCCCGAUUAAA